rnacentral:rRNA from 1 species
ACAGUGGACGCGAGCAUCUGUGGCCAAGUUUUUAAGGGCGCACGGUGGAUGCCUUGGCACCAGGAACCGAUGAAGGACGUGGGAGGCCGCGAUAGUCCCCGGGGAGUCGUCAACCAGGCUUUGAUCCGGGGGUUUCCGAAUGGGGAAACCCGGCAGUCGUCAUGGGCUGUCACCCGCUGCUGAACACAUAGGCAGUGUGGAGGGAACGAGGGGAAGUGAAACAUCUCAGUACCCUCAGGAAGAGAAAACAACCGUGAUUCCGGGAGUAGUGGCGAGCGAAACUGGAUGAGGCCAAACCGUAUGCGUGUGAGACCCGGCAGGGGUUGCGCAUGCGGGGUUGUGGGUUCUUUCUUCUGUCGUCUGCCGGCGGCAGGACGAGUCAGAAACCGUUGAUGUAGGCGAAGGACAUGCGAAAGGUCCGGCGUAGAGGGUAAGACCCCCGUAGUCGAAACGUCAGCGGCUCGUUUGAGAGAUACCCAAGUAGCACGGGGCCCGAGAAAUCCCGUGUGAAUCUGGCGGGACCACCCGCUAAGCCUAAAUAUUCCCUGGUGACCGAUAGCGGAUAGUACCGUGAGGGAAUGGUGAAAAGUACCCCGGGAGGGGAGUGAAAUAGUACCUGAAACCGUGUGCCUACAAGCCGUGGGAGCGUCGGAUGCAGCUUGCUGUAUCUCGUGACUGCGUGCCUUUUGAAGAAUGAGCCUGCGAGUUUGCGGUGUGUUGCGAGGUUAACCCGGGUGGGGAAGCCGUAGCGAAAGCGAGUCCGAACAGGGCGUUUUAGUAGCACGCUCAAGACCCGAAGCGGAGUGAUCUAGCCAUGGGCAGGUUGAAGCGGAGGUAAGACUUCGUGGAGGACCGAACCCACCAGGGUUGAAAACCUGGGGGAUGACCUGUGGUUAGGGGUGAAAGGCCAAUCAAACUCCGUGAUAGCUGGUUCUCCCCGAAAUGCAUUUAGGUGCAGCGUCGUGUGUUUCUUGCCGGAGGUAGAGCACUGGAUAGGCGAUGGGCCCUACCGGGUUACUGACCUUAGCCAAACUCCGAAUGCCGGUAAGUGAGAGCGCGGCAGUGAGACUGUGGGGGAUAAGCUCCAUGGUCGAGAGGGAAACAGCCCAGAGCAUCGACUAAGGCCCCUAAGCGUACGCUAAGUGGGAAAGGAUGUGGAGUCGCACAGACAACCAGGAGGUUGGCUUAGAAGCAGCCACCCUUGAAAGAGUGCGUAAUAGCUCACUGGUCUAGUGAUUCCGCGCCGACAAUGUAGCGGGGCUCAAGCGUACCGCCGAAGUCGUGUCAUUCAUAUAUAUAGCCCCAACGGGUGUAUGGAUGGGUAGGGGAGCGUCGUCUGCCGGGUGAAGCGGCACUGGAAGGUAGUCGUGGACGGUUGACGAGUGAGAAUGCAGGCAUGAGUAGCGAUUCACACGUGAGAAACGUGUGCGCCGAUUGACUAAGGGUUCCUGGGUCAAGCUGAUCUGCCCAGGGUAAGUCGGGACCUAAGGCGAGGCCGACAGGCGUAGUCGAUGGAUAACCGGUUGAUAUUCCGGUACCCGCUGUGAAGCGUCAAACAUCGAGCAUCGUGAUGCUAAGGCCGUGAAGCCGUUCCGGACCCUUCGGGGAAAGGAAAGUGGUGGAGCCGCCGGACCAAGCGGUUAGUAGGUGAGUGAUGGGGUGACGCAGGAAGGUAGUCCAUCCCGGGCGGUGGUUGUCCCGGGGUAAGGGUGUAG